rnacentral:rRNA from 1 species
CCUUGAAAUACCACCCUUUAAUGUUUGAUGUUCUAACGUGGACCCGUGAUCCGGGUUGCGGACAGUGUCUGGUGGGUAGUUUGACUGGGGCGGUCUCCUCCUAAAGAGUAACGGAGGAGCACGAAGGUUGGCUAAUCCUGGUCGGACAUCAGGAGGUUAGUGCAAUGGCAUAAGCCAGCUUGACUGCGAGCGUGACGGCGCGAGCAGGUGCGAAAGCAGGUCAUAGUGAUCCGGUGGUUCUGAAUGGAAGGGCCAUCGCUCAACGGAUAAAAGGUACUCCGGGGAUAACAGGCUGAUACCGCCCAAGAGUUCAUAUCGACGGCGGUGUUUGGCACCUCGAUGUCGGCUCAUCACAUCCUGGGGCUGAAGUAGGUCCCAAGGGUAUGGCUGUUCGCCAUUUAAAGUGGUACGCGAGCUGGGUUUAGAACGUCGUGAGACAGUUCGGUCCCUAUCUGCCGUGGGCGCUGGAGAACUGAGGGGGGCUGCUCCUAGUACGAGAGGACCGGAGUGGACGCAUCACUGGUGUUCGGGUUGUCAUGCCAAUGGCACUGCCCGGUAGCUAAAUGCGGAAGAGAUAAGUGCUGAAAGCAUCUAAGCACGAAACUUGCC